rnacentral:lncRNA from 11 species
CUUGCACAAAGGAUAAAAAGAAGCCAAAGUUUUGUCAAAAGGAAGAUAACUUUCAUUAAAACAAUUAUAACUGGGCUUAUUGGUUGUCAGAACAGGUUUUGAUUGUACAUCAGCCCUCCACAUUUGCAGGUUUGAUUAUUCAUGGAUGUGAUUUAAGUGUUCUCUCUAAGAAUCUAUAGUCAACUUCUUCCAAAGGUCAUGGAGUCAUACUUGGAGAACUUAGAGAUUCCUAAACAGGAUGCCUCUUUGAAAAAGGUUUGAUCCAUAGAGUCAUUCUGGAGAAAUUAGAUAGUCCUAGAAAGGUGUUAUCUCAAGUAAGGAGCACAAAACGGCCCUCUGAAAAAAAAUUGUUAACAGUGAUUUGGGCCCAACUCUAAUAAAGAGUCGAUUAAUGCUCUGAAGGAGGAAUGGGAAUUAUGAGAGUUGUGGGCUAAAUUAAACCCUUUAGAUAAUACAUGUGGUCCUUGGAAUCCAUCCCAAUCUUUUGAGACUCUAGUAACACCUGUCAUGGACCAGGAAUCAGCUCUCCAUGAUAAAGGGCAGACUCAAGUGGUAAAAAAGUCCAGAACUCACUGGCAGCUGACCUAUCAGAGGAAUCAACUAAGAAAGCAACACAAUCUCCAUCUUCAUGGACCUGAUGUAUACUGUGUUACCAAACAUCUGAAUUUGGUGAGGUAAGAUUCAUGGAGGCCUACUUCUAACAAAGUGAGCAAUCUAUUAAUCAUGAUCUGGGGGGGAAAGAAAUUACCACUAAAUAAGGGAAAUCAGCAAUGUUUCUUUCAUCCUGUUUCUUUCUUGGCAGACAUUUACCAUGCUACUGGCUUUGCCAAAGGCCACUGGCUGGCCUGGAAAAAUC